GGCAACUUCAUCUGUGUAUUCAGCACUGUUUUCUUUCUGAAUAACCACAUCCAUCAUUGUUUGCAUUCGCAAAUUAAAAAAAAAAGUAUAUAUUACUCUGUGAUUCAAUAAAUCCCCCUAUAUUGGCCAGGUGAUUGCUUCCAAAUUUUGGGUAUUAUGUACAAAAUGCCUCUGGCCAAUGCAGUCUCUCUCUCUCUCUCUCU
rnacentral:misc_RNA from 1 species